GGUUGUGGCUCAGUGGCACAGCACUUGCCUAACAUGUAUGAGGCACUGGGUUCGAUCCCCAGCACCA
rnacentral:tRNA from 1 species